rnacentral:rRNA from 1 species
AUUGAACGCUGGCGGCAGGCUUAACACAUGCAAGUCGAGCGGGGUGAUGGUGCUUGCACUAUCACUUAGCGGCGGACGGGUGAGUAAUGCUUAGGAAUCUGCCUAUUAGUGGGGGACAACAUCUCGAAAGGGAUGCUAAUACCGCAUACGUCCUACGGGAGAAAGCAGGGGAUCACUUGUGACCUUGCGCUAAUAGAUGAGCCUAAGUCGGAUUAGCUAGUUGGUGGGGUAAAGGCCUACCAAGGCGACGAUCUGAAGCGGGUCUGAGAGGAUGAUCCGCCACACUGGGACUGAGACACGGCCCAGACUCCUACGGGAAGCAGCAGUGGGGAAUAUUGGACAAUGGGGGGAACCCUGAUCCAGCCAUGCCGCGUGUGUGAAGAAGGCCUUAUGGUUGUAAAGCACUUUAAGCGAGGAGGAGGCUCUUUUGGUUAAUACCCAAGAUGAGUGGACGUUACUCGCAGAAUAAGCACCGGCUAACUCUGUGCCAGCCGCCGCAGUAA